rnacentral:rRNA from 1 species
CUGGCGGCGUGCCUAACACAUGCAAGUCGAACGAGAAAGUGGAGCAAUCCAUGAGUAAAGUGGCGACCGGGUGAGUAACACGUGACUAACCUACCCUCGAGUGGGGAAUAACUCCGGGAAACCGGGGCUAAUACCGCAUAACAUCGCAAGAUCAAAGCAGCAAUGCGCUUGAGGAGGGGGUCGCGGCUGAUUAGCUAGUUGGCGGGGUAACGGCCCACCAAGGCGAAGAUCGGUAUCCGGCCUGAGAGGGCGCACGGACACACUGGAACUGAAACACGGUCCAGACUCCUACGGGAGGCAGCAGUGGGGAAUUUUGCGCAAUGGGGGAAACCCUGACGCAGCAACGCCGCGUGGAGGAUGAAGCCCUUUGGGGCGUAAACUCCUUUCGACUCGGACGAUAAUGACGGUACGAGUGGAAGAAGCACCGGCUAACUCUGUGCCAGCAGCCGCGGUAAUACAGAGGGUGCGAGCGUNGUUCGGAAUUAUUGGGCGUAAAGGGCGCG